GACGAACGCUGGCGGCGUGCCUAAUACAUGCAAGUAGAACGCUGAAGGAGGAGCUUGCUCUUCUGGAUGAGUUGCGAACGGGUGAGUAACGCGUAGGUAACCUGCCUGGUAGCGGGGGAUAACUAUUGGAAACGAUAGCUAAUACCGCAUAACAGUAGAUGUUGCAUGACAUUUGCUUAAAAGGUGCAAUUGCAUCACUACCAGAUGGACCUGCGUUGUAUUAGCUAGUUGGUGGGGUAACGGCUCACCAAGGCGACGAUACAUAGCCGACCUGAGAGGGUGAUCGGCCACACUGGGACUGAGACCCGGCCCAGACUCCUACGGGAGGCAGCAGUAGGGAAUCUUCGGCAAUGGACGGAAGUCUGACCGAGCAACGCCGCGUGAGUGAAGAAGGUUGUCGGAUCGUAAAGCUCUGUUGUAAGAGAAGAACGAGUGUGAGAGUGGAAAGUUCACACUGUGACGGUAUCUUACCAGAAAGGGACGGCUAACUACGUG
rnacentral:rRNA from 1 species